CGUGGUGAAGCAACCUUGCUUGGGCAAAGCCACGGAGCAUCCUCCCCAGUAUGGUUCUCCUCUUGUAAAUGGCAACUUUGGCUACGAAAGUGUCGAUGACAUCCUCAGCUAGGUGGGCCACAUCUCUGAUUUGGUUCACCACUGUAUUUUCAAUUCCCUUCUUUCUCUUUGAGGUAUUGAGAAGGUCGUUGAUCAUUUGAAGCUCGUUCUGAAGGGACUGGACUCUGUCCUCCACGCCAUACAGCAAGUUAGCUUCGUGUGCCACAAGCUGGGAUAAGUGAUCCAAAACAAAAGUAACUACACUGUCUGGCAUUACACUGUCUGCCAUUACAGCAUAGACGUGCCUGCAGAUUUUGAUCUGUGCUUAGAUAAUGUGUUUGUGGUUGGUGAUGGAAGAAGAGGAAGAAUGAUUUACUAAGGAAGAAUGAAAAAACAAUGGAAGGAGAACUUGAUUGUAUAGCUUGCAGCCACACACUAAAGAAUAUAUAAUGGAAAGUGGUUGCCAUUGACUUUGCGUCAACCAUGAAUACGGUUGGAAUAUUUAUGAUGAUACAACAUUUAAUUGCAUAAUAACACCUUCCACUCAUUUAAUUGCAUAUUGCUCUGUGGCAUUGCAACAGUCCAAUUUCAAUAUUUUUAUUUAUUUAAUAUUAGUAAAACUUUCUCUUCCAAUAUGAAAUAAAUAUAAAGACAGAUGAGUAGACAUAGCAGGAAGGUGCCAUGUUACUCAGCAAUAUGAAAUUAAAUGUUUCAUAAAUAUUCCAACAACUUUUAAACUACAUUCAAAAUGGAAUUAAAUGUUUCAUAAAUAUUCCAACAAUUUUUAAACUACAUUCAAAAUAGAAUUAAAUGUUUCAUAAAUAUUCCAACAACUUUUAAUGGAAGGUUUGUAACAACGUGUUUUUUUUUAAAAAAAAAACACCAACAUGAACCUUAUCCCCCUGCACCACAAUACCUCUUUUAUUUUUUUUCUCUUUCUCUUUCUCUUUCUCUUUCUUUUUCUCUUUCUCUUUCUAAAUCUUUCCCUUCUCUCUUAAUUUUCCCCUCCCAAUCUUCAUCUAUUUUAGAAUUUGAUCGGAUCACGUUGUAGCUGGCGAGUUAAAGACCAUUUCUACCCGAUCAGAUUUUCAAACAGAGUAAGUUCAUUUUUACUCUAAAUAUCCUUUGUUCUCUGUUUUUUCUUAGGAUUUAGUCAUCAAUCUUGGUGGGGUCAGUUGAGAAGUUUAACCCUCUCAACUUAUUCUACUAUAUACUAAAUUUUGUUCUGUUUGGAUAAUUUGCAUUAGGCCCGUAAAUCUUGAAGCUUAUCCAAACGGUGGGGAAUAAAAUUCUAAAAGUUGCUUGAAAAGCAAGCAAUUGAGGUAAGGGAAGCUAAAUUUAAUUUUUUAUAGCACCCUAGGAUAGAAGAUCUGAAUGCGGAAGGGACGUGGUCCCAAUAUUGAUUUUCUCGUGCAGGGGUGUUAUUUGUUUAUAUAUUAUUUAAACUUUAUAAAUAUUAUAUUUUGAUAGCUUGAGAGUUAAAUAUUGUUUUUGACGUUGAAAAAGUUCUGGAAUGAUAUGAAUUUUUAAAUGUUAUGUGAUUGAAUGAUAUGUAUUAUAUGCGGAUGAUGUAAAUUGUAUGAAAGUGAUGUCAUACAUUUGGGAUAAUGUAUGAGUUGUUGUUUGAUGGUACGUUAAGUAUGAAAAGCCUAUGUUUAACGGAGAUCCUCUGGCUUCACUAAUGAUCUAAGUCAUGUAGACUAAGAUAUUAGGUGGUGAGAAGCUGAGAGGGAGUUCAUACACACCGGGUCCCACUGUAGACACUCGGUAUUGGAUGUUUGAACUUACCCUGAUCCUUUCUAUUAGAUUCGCUGGUAAUCUUUGGGUCAGGUGUUAGUCUCUGGUAGGGACAUACUUAAUGAGUCUUCCGGAAGAUGAAGUGGGAUUGAAAUGAAAUCCAAUGAUUGUGAUUGAAAAUAGAUCCAUGUGUGGUCUAUAUGAAUGAUGAAAUUGAUAUUGAAAUUUUACAUGACAACAUUUAAAGUAAUGUUUAUAAAUGAUUUGUUUGGUUGGUUCUUUUUGUAAGAAUUAGAUAUGAUAUGCAAUUUCUUUUCACUAGCUUACCCUUGCUUUUCUUGCUGUGUUUAAACUGCGAUGACUGUACUAUGUACACGAGCAGAUGAUCUUACAGGUAUCUGAGGAUCAAAAGAGUUUUAAGGCGUUGAUUUUGAAACUUAUAUUGUAAAUAUUUGUAUUUCUAUAUGUCCUAAUCAUGUAUUAAGAAUGUUUUGAAAAACUUUAUGCUUGUAUAGAAAUAAGUAGAAUCUGUAUUGUAAUAGUUAGAUGUAUUUUUCCGGGGUGUUACAAGGUUGGUUGAACCGUAUUCAUGGUUGACGCAAACUCAGUGCAAAAAUAAAACCAGAUAUUUUACCAAAAAUAUCUUAAUUUAAACUAAAAAUUAUUUCCCUUGAUCUUCUUCUCCUCUUGCAUUCAUUUAUUUACAUAUCUAAAACCAUAUAAUACUAGUUCGUUCAUUAUCAUUUUCUCAUUUAUAAUUUUAUAUCUAAACAAUUCAAAAAUAUGAUAUUUGUUAAGAGACUAUUUUAAAUAUAAAAUUUUAUCCACUAAUUUAGUAAAACAAUUAUGUAUAACUUUCCAUAAAAAUUUUAAAAAUAUAAAAAUUAUUUAUAUGUAUAAUUGUCAUUCUAUAAAAAAAAAUUCCAUUUAUAUACUCAUUCCAACUUUUUCUCAAUUUCAACUCUUAUAAAAGUAGAACUUUAUCUUCCAAUUUAAAUCUUUUUUUUAUUUACAUAUAAGUAUUUGUAUUGCAUUCUUUUUCUGAAUUAUGAUUUUUUACAACAAUUUUUAGAUUAUUAUUUUUAUUAUUAUAUAUGAUUGUUCGAUAAAUAAAAUAAAGCUUUUUUGAAAAAAAAUUAGGAUGUAUACAUAUAGUGUUAAAUCAACACCUUGCUUCUCUUAAGUUUUUUUAAUUUUUAAACCUUUUUUUUUAAAUAUGCAACACUCAAAUAUGACUCAAAUAUGACUUAAGAGAGAGUUUGUGUAGUAAAUAAUUAUUUAUAUGAGGUUAAAAUUACAGAAAAGCUUCAUUCACAAAACAAAUCUAAACUGAGGUUUAAAACCGAAUUUUGAACGGAGUUUUAUAUUUUUAUUUAAAAAUAUUAAAAAAUAGUUUUAAAUUUUCAAAAUAAAAAAUAUCAUCUUAAAAAAGAAAUAUUUUAAAUAAAAUUAUGAAAAAAUAUAUGUUUUAAAAAUAAAAAUUUAGAAAGAUAAUUAUAUUGAAGAAUAAUAUUUUAAUUAAAAAAAUAAAUUUUUACCUCUUUAAAUAGUGAUAUAUACUUUCUCGAACAAUAUUUUCAUAUUUUCUUGAUAGUAGUGAAUACUUCCAAUUUGAUAUAAGACAUAGUAAAAUAGCGUGGUUUUGAAUUUUAAGACUUUUUUUAUAAGAAAAACCCGAUCGAAACAUUUUUUUUUUCAAAAAUAAAAAUGAAAAAAUUAGUUUUAAAAAUAGGAAAAAGGAAAGGUUAAGAAAAUAUAUAAUUUAUAUUUUAUUAUGUUUAAACAAAAUAACUUGUAAAAAGAUAAGGAAAUUGGGAGAAAUGAUAUCCAAAUAUAUAUUAUGAAAGUUUUUGCAAUAAAUAAUUUAAAAAGACUUGGGGUCAACAGUUAUUGUUUUAUAUUUUUCCUUUUAUUUUGAGUCAACCAUGAAUAAUCUUCAACUCAACCUUCCACUCAUCACUUAUUUAACUGCACCUUCCUGCUAUGUGCCAAAUUGCCAGAGAAUAUAUAUUAUUUUCUAUUUAGAAAUUUAUAAAUUUCAUUUAUUUUAAAUUUUUAUUUAUAUAUUACAUUAAAUAAGUCACCGUAUUUAUUUAUUUAGGAUUUUGAAUAAUUUUGAAAUUCAACUUACUUUGAAUUUUUAAGUAGAAAAUUAAAUAAUUUAGAUUUUAUAUUUAUUUAAGAUUUUAAGAUUUUAUUUCUUUGAAAUUACUAGUAGAAAAUAAAACAAUUUAGAAUUUGUAUUUGUUUAGGAUUGUGGAAAAUUUAGAAAUUUUAUUAAUUUUAGAUUUUUAUCCUAUAAUGAAAUUAAAUAAUUUAGGAUAUGGAUAAAUUUUGAAACUUGAAAAUUUUCAGAAUUUUACUGAUUUUUAAUUUUAUUUAAAAAUGAUAUUAUAAGUAGAAAAUAAAAUAAUUUCAGAGUUUUUAUUUAAUUAGGAUUUUUACCAACUAUAGAAAUUUUAUUUAUUUGAGUUUUAUUUAUUUUUGUAUGACAUAAAAUAAGUUAGGAUUUGUGUUUAUUUAGAAUUUUUUAUAUUUUAGAUUUUUUUUUAUUAUUAUUUAGAAUAAUUUAAAAAAAUUAUUUAUUUCAAAUAUUUUCUUGUAAAUCUUUAUUUAAAUAUGAAAUUUAAUAAUUUAAGAUUUAUAUUUACUUAUAAUUUUAAAUAAUUUAGGUAUUUUAUUUUUUGAAUUUUUUAUUUAAGUAUGAUACUGAAUAAUUUAUUAUUUGUAAUUUUUUAAAAUUUUAAAUAAUUUAGGAAUUUUUAUUGAAAUUUUUUAUUUAAGUAUGAUAUUAAAUAAUUUAAAAUUUGUAUUUAUUUAGGAUUUUGAAUAAUUUAGAAAUUCGAUUUAUUUUAGAUUUUAUUUAAUUAAAAUAUUAAAUUAUUUAGAUUUUGUAUCUAUUUAGGAUUUUGAAAUUUUAAAAAAAUAUUAUUUAUUUAUAUAGGAAAUAAAAUAAUUUAGGAUUUAUAUUUAUUUAGAACUUGAAAAAAUAUAGAAGUUUAAUUAAUUUAGAUUUUUAUAUUAGAAUGUCAUUAAAUAUAAUUUUAGAAUUUUAUUGAUUUUCAAUUUUUAUUUAAGAAUGAUAUUAAAUUUUUUGGGACUUAUAUUUUUUAGGAUUUUAAAAAUUUACAAAAUUUUAUUUACUUUUAAUUUUUAUUUAAGUAGGAAAUAAAAUAGUUUAAGAUUUUGUAUUUAUUUAGGAUUUUAAAAAACUUAAAAAAAAUUAUUUAUUUGAUAUUUUUAUUUAAAAAUAAUAUUAAAUUAUUUAGAAUAUGUAUUUAUUUAAAAUUUUGAAUAAUUUAACAUUUUAAAAUGAUAGAAAUUUUAUUUAUUUUUGAUAUUUUUAUUUAAGUAUGUCAUAAAAUAAGUUAGGCACCGGAGAAAGCAAUGGCUUGUAGCUUGCAACCACACACUAAAUGAUAUCCAAAUAAUUUAAAAAGACUUGGGCUCAAGAAUUGUUGUUUUAUAUUUUUCCAUAUAUAUGUGCCAAAUUGAUAUAUAUAUAUAUAUAUAUAUAUAUCUUACCAAUUUCUUAUCACUCAUAAUAAUAACGUAAUAAAAAUUAGAAUAUGAUAAUCAAAUGACUUUAAUUUAGUGGUUAGAGGUAUCCUGGUUAGUGGUCCUAAGUUUAAGUCUCACCUACAACAAAAUGGUAAUAAUAAUAGAUUGUAAUAAUUAGAAAUAAUAAUUGUAAAUGAUUAAUAAUAUUUUUAAUAUUAAUAAUAAUUAAUAACACUAAUAAUUACCGACAAAAGAUUUUAUUGGUAAAUUUACCGAUAGAAUAUUUUUCGUCAAUAAAUUUACCGACAAACAUAUUAUUUAUAAAUUUUUAUCUGUCGUUUUUUCAUCGGUAAUGUAUACUUGUUGACGGAUUUUUGGUCUUACCUAUGGAUUAGACCGUUGAUUAUAUGUUUUUUUUUUAGUAUGUGAAACUUUUAUCACUAGUCCAUUCAUUUCUUACUUUUAAACUAAAUAAUCUUAAAGUUGCUAACAAUCUUGUGAAGUUAUUGAAUACUGGAUAAUUGUUUCUCCAAAUCAAGCAUAAAAGAAUCAUACACAUGUAUUCUUCCAAAAUUUUGUUACCACCAUCAUGUAUCCUUUCCUUUAAAUUAUCGUUUAUCCCUUCUUUAAUAUUUUUUAUCGUCAACAUAAUUUGAGUGACUAAUAUUUUUUCGUGUCGUAUACGUAUUGUAUAACUCUUAACAAUAUAAAAGAUAAAUCGAUGAUAAUUAUAAUAUCCCAACUAUUAUAUGAAUAAUUGUUAUUUGAUUCUUUGAUUUCUUGAAAUUAUAUCAUGCUUGUUAUGAUGUGUUGUUAGGAUUUGUUGUAAUUUUUUUCUUUUGUUUGCAUUGUAUUCCUUUUAUAUCUUGUGAGUCCAUAAAGUGUUUUUCCAGGAAUGCAAAAGGAUGAGUGUGGCGGUAUUUGAUGAUCAUAUAUUUACUCAUACUUAAUAGCUUUAAUCAUAGAUGUCUUUGACUAAAAUCAUGUAUAACUCUACUAUUUUAAGUAAGAAUCAUCUAACUGGGUUUAUUUGGACCUUAACUAUUAUUUAUGAUAAUAUUGUAAUUUAGUCCCAGUAGACGGUCCAAUGCUUCUCAGAGUUCAUUGGAUGGUCUAAUAAGAGCGUUUGCUAAAGAGUUUUAAGGAAGUUUUUAUCUCUACAAGUGGGUUGAAUAUGCGAAAGUCCAAGUUGCUUAUUUGAAUCAAAGAGAAAAAAAAAAUCUUAAGGGAAGAAUUAGAGAAUAAAAUCUAAUAUAUCAUAAACAGAAUUGGAAGCAAAUCUUUUGCAAAAUACAAAGAAACAUAGUUCAUGACGAAAGUGAAAAUAAAAUUUAGGAAUUCUGAAAAGUUAAAAACUUAAAAAUCGAAGCAAUAUCUAAACUGAAAUAUAUUUUUGAGAUCCUUGAAACAAAGAAACCUACAAAAGGAUGUAAGCUUCAAGGAGAAAGGGGAAAGUUUCAGAGCUUAACACAAUGCAUUCGAAAAACAGAGCAUUAGAGUUUUCUUAGGUUUUAUUUGUUUUUCUUCGUUAUAAUUCUUUCAUUUACCUUCGUAUGGAAGGUUAAACUCAUUCAUGUUGAUUCUCUUGUGACUUUGCAAUGAAUUUUGAGAUUUGUGUUCAAUAAAGUUUUAUUCUUAAAUUCUAUGUAGCAAUACAUGUAAAAAGGUUUGGUCUUUUUGAAUUUUGAUUUUUUUUAAAGAAUUUUCUUUGAACAAUUGUUAAGAAUUCUGUUAUUUUAAUUAAUUGGAGUUUUUGGUUAGUUUAUUUUACAUGCGGGUUAGACCGCAGUUCGCUACCUCUCCUCCCAGAAGUUUGCUACUAACUUCCUGCUAGAACAAAUACAGUCUGACUAACCUAAAUAAAUCACUUAUGUUUAAUUGAAUACAUACAAACUAGGGGAUCUAGACACCAACAGAAAAGGAAAAACAAGAAGGGACUUUAGAGGUUACCCAGGACCAGACUUUUAGUUGAGCCAUGGAGUUAGUAUGAAGAGUGACAGUGGAUUUAGUUUUAGGUAAAGUCUUAUAUUUAAAAUUUGUUAAUAAAAAAUAAUAUAAAAAAAAGAUUUCAAUAGGAUAGUUAAAAAAUUAGUCAUCUUCAUUAAAAUAUUCGUAUACAUUUACAUACAUAUAUAGAAAAAAUAGAUGCAAAACAAUAAUUUUAAUUAUUUUUAAUCAAACAUUCUAACAAUCCCUAUACUUCAACUUAUAUUUUAAUCUUAAUUGAAUGAAUUGAAACAUGAAUAAAAUUUUAACUUUUCAGUAGUAGAAAUAAUUAUUUUUUUAAUUAAUGAAAUUUUAAUUUUUGAAAAAAAAUAUUUUUCUUAUGCGGGCUGGCUCACAGGCCUGCGGGUUAUUUCUUAUGUGGGACGAGUCAGUGAAAUGAGUCCGCACUUGUUGUAUGGGGCGUGCUAACACAGUCCGCAUUUUGUGGGCCAAACGCAGGACGAGCCAACCCUCAUUGUCACCCCUAGUUUAUUUAAUUAUAAUCAAUCUUUUGUUCACUUAGUCAAGAGAUAAACGAUAAACAUUUCACAAGUAGAUGCUUGGAACUUGUGAGAUACUAAAUACAUCAGUAAACGAUUGUUUUGAUAAUAAGAUUAUGUUGACUUGGUUUGUUGAUAAGAUUCUAUUAAAUUCUAUUGACACUUGUUUGGUUAAGUUUGACAUUAUGUAAAAAUUGAAAAAAGUGAACAUCUUAAGAAAAUCAAUAAUAAAUUCAAUGUUGAAUGAACUUAAGAGUUGGACUGGAUUUUUUUUACUAUUUUUCAAUUAUGUACUUUAUUUUUCUACACAAUAAUCUCAAUCUUUUUAUUUUCAUUAUUUUUUCUCACCAUUUUGAUUGCAAAUAAGUUUUGAAUGCUAUCUUAACUAGAUUCAGUAGUGGAUUUGUUGGAAGAUGACUUGGAGUCAUCUAACCUUAACUACACUAUCAUUUUUCUAUGAUAUUCGACGAUUUACGUGAAUCAUUUUAAUUUCACCACUAAAUGAUAGUUAUCACAUAUCAAUGCUUAUUUAUAGAUUAAAAUAAAAUCUUAUUUUAAAUUUUGUAUAAAAUAAUUUCAUACAAAUAAAACAACAUACUAAUGUACAUAUUAAAGAAUCACCACACUAAAGUAUCAUAAAAAUGAAAUAAUUCCCCUUUAAAUUUUUUUAAAUCAGCAUACCAAUGUUAUAAGAAAAAAUUCAAAAUAUAAUUAUUAAAUAUUGAAUAUUUAUCCUCAAAUGUGAAAAAGGAAAGUUCAAUGAAGACACCAAAGAAAAAUGAAGAUGAAAAACGAUUAACCUUCACAAUGGUGAAGAGAACAAAUGGUAAGUCUUCACAUUUUACGACAAUAUCAACAAUCAUAAUCAAUAGAGACAACAAAGACCACAACUAUCACAAGAAAAAUAACAAUAAUAAUAAUAAAUGAGACAAAAAAUAUUAUAUUUAUUUUAGUGUAUUGAAAAUAAUAUAAUUUUACCAUAACUUAUUUUUUAAAUUGAAUAUUAUAUUUCCUCAUCAACCUCAAUAUGUAAUAAGGAUAAAUCUAAACAAUGAUAGUAGUAUGUAAAUAAUGACAAAUUUUUUGUAGUUAGAAAAAAAAUCAACUAUAAACCGCAAUGAUUGUUUUAUUGAUAAAAUCUUUAAAUUUUUGUAUAAUAUUGUAUAUCUAAAAUAUAAAAAUAUAUUUAACUAUUUUUUAAAGUUAUAGAAUUAAGAUUGAAAUAUUGAUAAUAUUUAAUAAUUAGUUAAACUUUUUUCUUUACAUAAAGCUUCCACACUUCUUUCAUUUCACAUUCUCAAAAGCAAAUACAAAACCUGUUAAAUAGGCAACAAGAAAAAAAAAAGGAGAAAUAACUGCGAAAGUGUAUUUAAUUAUUAUUGAUUUCUAGUUUUGAACGAAAUCUUAUUAAUUUAAAAACUAAUAAGAAACUAAUUAAGGGUAUGUAAUUUGUAAAAGUUUAAUUAUAAUGAUGAAAAUGUUCAAAUGAAAUGAAUUUAGUUAUAUAUAAAACCAUUGAAAAUAGUAUUAUUUUUACUAUGAAUUCAAACGAGUUUAAUCAACAAUGUAAAUUUCUUUAUUUCUUAUCUAAUAUAAAAUAAUAUUUUUAUAUAACCAAUUUAAAUUGAUUGGCUUAAUAAUUUAUAUACAUAAUUGUGAUAAUCGAAUUUAUGAUAGAUUAAUAUUGAAGUUAAAAUAAUGAUUUGAUCUAAUAGAAAAAGAAGCAUCUAAUUUAUUCUAUUCUUGAACUUUAAAAUAGAUAUUAUAAUUGACACUUAGGACCUCAUCUUAGAAAAGCGAGCCAAAUAAUUUUUUCCAAAAAUAACAAUGAAAAGUAGUAUUAAAAAAUAGGAAAAACAAAGUUUAAGAAAAUAUAUAAUUUAUAUUUGAUUAUUAAAAAGACUUGGGUCAACGGUUAUUGUUUUAUAUUUUUUCAUUUAAUAGAAACUAAUUUAAAUUUUUUUUUUAGUUUUUAAAACGGUCUUUUUAAUUUAGUAACUAAUUAUUUGAUAUCUAAAAUUGAUUUUUAUUUAAUUUUGUAGUGCAUUGAAAAAUAAAUUUUUUAAAAAAAGUAAAUAUUUACCUCUUAAAAUAAUGAUAUAUUCUUUCUCUAACAAUAUUUUCUUCAUAGUAAAUUCAAAUCUUAUAUAAGACAUACUAAAAUAGCGUGGCCUUAAUUUUUAUUUAAGACUUUAUUUUAUAAGAAAAAAUAGGGAAAGCAAAUAGGGAAGACCAUACGGGCCGUUCUGUGGCCCACUAGUAAAAAAUACGGGGUGGUUGUAGUUUUUCAACUCGCUAACUCGCUUUAUCUCGUCCCGCAUAAUCCCAGUCUGGACAGGGUAGGCUGGCCCGCUAGCCCGCAAAAAGAAUUAUGUAUUAAUAGGUUUUCAUUUUCCAUUCAUAUUCAUUCAUUCCAAAGCUAUUUUUAAUGUUUUUGAAAUAAAAGAAUAUUAAUAUUUGAUUUUUAUCUUCAUUGAAUUAUUGAUGUUAAACUAUGUUUGAAAUGGAAGAAAAAAAUAUUGAUGUUUGAUAAUGGUAAAUACAAGUUCAAUUUAACAAUUUUUCAAAAACAAAAAAUAUAAAUAUUUUUAUUAAAUUUCUAAAAAAAAAAAAAAUGAACCGUUGACCCACAAACUUGCGGACGGACUCUUAUAUGGGACAGAAUAGAGAAUCCAUUCAUUACUCGACCGACCCACUUUGCCAUCCUAAAAAAAAGUGAGCCGAACAAUUUUUUCGAAAAUAACAAUGCAAAAGUAGUUUUAGAAUGGAAAAGAAAAGUUUGAGAAAAUAUAUAAUUUAUAUUUUAUUAUACAUUAAAAUUGGUUAGAAAGUUAAGAUAAAAGUUAAAAGGGUAACUGAUACUGGAUGCCAAACAAUCAGCCACUAGCUUAAAAUCAAUUAACUCUAGCAGAAAGUUUUUAAACAAGAUUAUUAAAUUAUAAAUACUUGAUUAAAUUAUCUUCAUAAUCAUAAAUAUAGAAUUAUAGAAAUAUAUAUAAGUUCAUACGGUACUUCAUAUAAAUUAUAUUUUUAUUUUAUUUUAUUGUUAAAAAUUUAUUUCCGAAUAUUUAUCAUUUUAAUUUUUAACUAGUCUUAAACUUUUAUAUUUUCUAUUUAAAAAUCAAUCAUUUUAAUUAUAUUUUUUAUAUUGUGUAUUCUAUCAUUCAUAUGACGUAAUAUUGUAAAAUAUUUUCAAACAAAAUUUUAAACAAGAAAAAUAUCAUAUUUUUAAAUAGACACACGUAUUGUGUUACUCGGUUAAAAACAUUUUAAUAUGAAAAAAUAGUGUCCAUCAGAGGUUAAUAUUUUAAAAUUUAUUAGUAAACUAAUGAAAUGAAUAUUGUGAAUAGUAUAAUCAUUAAAAUAAGUAGUGUGAUAUAAAAAUAUUAGAAUGAGAAUUACAUUACAUAAUAUUAUUAUUAUUGAUAUGUAUUAUUAUUAUUGAUAUGUUAUGUGGUAAAAAGGUAAAUCAAUACAUAAAAUAAUUGAAACUGAAAAUAGAAAAAGCAAGUGUAUAAAUUAGUUGAUAACAGAUUAAAAAAAAAACUAAAUGAUAUACUACAUAUGUUAAUUAAUUUAUUUUGGUUAAUUAUUAAGGACACACUAAAUUCAUUAAAGGGUUUAAACGAAAAAUAAAGGGUAAAAUUGAAAUUAAAAAAUAAGAAUGUUUCUUAAAAAAAGUAAUAGGGUAUUGGAUUAAUUUCCGCAAUAAUAUAUGACGCGUAAUCUCUGUUGGCAUGAAGGUCGUCGUCACCUAAUUUUUCCUUCAUUCAAACCUGCAAAGAAAUGUCUUCAAUCUUUUGCCCCUUUCACAUCAUGCUACCUACAAUUGUCUUAUUUUCUAAAAUACUUUCUAAAUUAAUUUAUAUUAUUCUUAAAUAGUUUUUAAAUUGGUAUCUAAUUAACAAUCAAGGUUUUAAAACUUUGGUUGCUAAUUAGAUACCAAUUUAGAAACUAUUUAACAAUCAUAUAAAUUAAUUUAGAAAGUAAUUUUUUUUUAAUUUUUAAAGUGGUCUAUAAUUUAGUUAUUAUUGUGACUAAUUAUUUUAGUAUCUAAAAAUUGGUUUAUAUUUCAUGAUUUUCUUUUUAGUGUAAGCACCCGAUAAAACAAUGGAAAGAGACUUCAAUUUCAAUUGGAGCUUGUAGCCACAUACUAAAGAAUAUCUAAAUAUGUAUAAGGGAAAGUGGGUUCAAGAGUUUUGGUUUUAAAUUUGCAUCAGAAGCUUCCCCUUAAGUACAUAAUGGCACCUUCCACUCAUUUUCCCUUGAAGUAUUUACUUUUAUGAGAGUAGAACAGUGUUCAGUUUCUUUCCACGUUAUUAGAUGCAAUGAAACAACAUAUAUACCCUACCAAUUUCUCAUCAUUAAUAUCUUAUAUGCACAAUUUACAUACAAAAACUAAUUAAUAUACUAAAUAUGUUAAUUAAUUUCUUCCUUUUGGUUAAUUAAUAAGGUCACACUAAAUUCAAUAAAAGGUUUAAACAAAAAAUAAAGGGUAUACUCAAUUCAAAUUCAAAAAUAACAAUGUUUCUAUAAAAAAGUAAUAGGGUAUUCGAUUAAUAUUCUUAAAUGUAAAUUCUUUUUAAAUAUGCAAUAAAAUGAUAUGGUAUUUAAAUGAAUAAUUAAGAAAAAUUACAAAAAAAAAGCACGAUCUUAAAAAUCAUACAAAUUUUAAUGAAUUAUUUAUUUUAUUGAACUUUUGUAAAAUCUGCAUGGUUUUUUUAUUUAUAUGUGUAAUUGUCAUUCUAUAAAACAGUUCCAUUUUUAUAUACUCAUUCAAACUUUUUCUCAAUUUCAACUAUGAUAAAGUAGAACUUUCUCUUCCAUUUUUUUUAUUUACAUAUAAGUAAUUGUAUUGCAUUAUUUUUCUGAAUUGUGAUUUUCUACAAACAAUUCUUAGAUUAUUAUUUUUAUUAUUAUAUAUGAUUGUUCGUUAAAUAAAAGUAAAGUUUUUUUAAAAAAAAUUUAGUCUGUAUACAUAUACUGUUAAAUCAACACCUUGUUUCUCUUAGAUUUUUUAAUUUUUAAACUUUUUAAAAAAUAUGUAACACCCAACACGGUACAAUAAAAAAUAAAUUUGUAAUUAGAUAAUAUAAAAAAUAUUAAAUUAAUAUUAUUAGAAAUGAUAAAAUAAUUAUAUAAAAAAUGUGAAUUCUCAUUAUAUCAUUAAUUAUCCGAAGCCAUGUAAUUUCAUUUAAUGAGCAAUAUGCAAUUACAUGUUUUAUAAAUAUUCCAACAACUUUUAAACUACUUUUAAAAUGAAUGGAAGGUUGUGGUUGAUGCAAACUCAGUGCAAAAAUAAAACCAGAUAUUUUUUGUAAAAUAUCUUAAUUUAAUCUAAAAACCAAUAUAAAACCUCUUUUACGUUUGUUAUUAUAAUAAGUUUUUAAUUAAAAAAAUGUAAGCAUUCUUAUUUCCCUUCAUCUUCUUCUCCUCUUACAUUCAUUUAUUUACAUAUCUAAAACCAUAUAAUACUAGUUCGUUCAUUAUCAUUUUCUCAUUUAUAAUUUUAUAUCUAAACAAUUCAAAAAUAUGAUAUUUGUUAAGAGACUAUUUUAAAUAUAAAAUUUUAUCCACUAAUUUAGUAAAACAAUUAUGUAUAACUUUCCAUAAAAAUUUUAAAAAUAUAAAAAUUAUUUAUAUGUAUAAUUGUCAUUCUAUAAAACAAUUCCAUUUAUAUACUCAUUCAAACUUUUUCUCAAUUUCAACUCUGAUAAAAGUAGAAAUUUAUCUUCCAAUUUAAAUCUUUUUUUUAUUUACAUAUAAGUAUUGCAUUAUUUUUCUGAAUUAUGAAUUUUUACAACAAUUUUUAGAUUACUAUUUUUAUUAUUAUAUAUGAUUGUUCGAUAAAUAAAAUAAAGCUUUUUUUUUUUAAAUUUAGGAUGUAUACAUAUAGUGUUAAAUCAACACCUUGUUUCUCUUAAGUUUUUUUAAUUUUAAACAUUUUUUUAAAAAUAUGCAACACUCAAAUAUGACUUUAGUAAGGAAUGAGACUUAAAGAGAGAGUUUGUGUAGUAAAUAAUUAUUUAUAUGAGGUUAAAAUUACACAAAACUUCAUCCACAAAACAAUCUAAAGUGAGGUUUAAAACCGAAUUUUGAACGGAGUUUUAUAUUUUUAUUUAAAAAUAUUAAAAAAUAGUUUUAAAUUUUCAAAAUGAAAAAUAUUAUCUUAAAAAAAAAUAUUUUAAAUAAAAUUAUGAAAAAAUAUAUGUUUGCAAAAAUAAAAAUUUAGAAAGAUAAUUAUAUUAAGAAAUAAUAUUUUAGAAAAAUAAAUAUUUAAUACCUCUUUAAAUAGUGAUAUAUACUUUCUCGAACAAUAUUUUCUUGAUAGUAGUGAAUACUUCCAAUCUCAUAUAAGACAUACUAAAAUGGCGUGGCCUUGAAUUUUAAGACUUUUUUUUUAUAAGAAAAAACGAUCGAAACAUUUUUUUUUUCAAAAAUAAAAAUGAAAAAAGUAGUUUUAAAAAUAGGAAAAAGGAAAGAUUAAGAAAAUAUAUAAUUUAUAUUUUAUUAUGUUAAAAGAGAAUAACUUAUAGAAAGAUAAGGAAAUUGGGAGAAAUUUGAGUGUUUAUUGAAGAAUUAAAUUAGGUAUUAUAUAAGGCAGCGGAGAAACCUAAAUUAUUACACACUAAUAAUUUAAAAAUGAUAUCCAAAUAUAUAUUAUGAAAAAUGGUUCCAAUAAAUAAUUUAAAAAGACUUGGGGUCAACAGUUAUUGUUUUCUAUUUUUCCACUGAUUUUGGAUAUUUUAAAUUUUUUAUUAUUAUCAUUUACAAUAAUUUAAAAAAUUAUUUGUUUCAGAUAUUUUAUUUAAGUAGGAUAUUUAAUAAUUUAAGAUUUGUAUUCGCUUAAAAUUUUGAAUAAUUUAGGAAUUUUAUUUAUUGUGAAUCUUUAUUUAAAUAUGAAAUUUAAUAAUUUAAUAUUUAUAUUUACUUAUAAAUUUUAAUAAUUUAGGUAUUUUAAUUUUUAAAAUUUUUUAUUUAAGUAUGAUAUUGAAUAAUUUAAUAUUUGUAAUUUUUUAAAAUUUUAAAUAAUUUAGGAUUUUUUAUUUAAGUAUGAUAUUAAAUAAUUUAAAAUUUGUAUUUGUUUAAAAUUUUGAAUAAUUUAGAAAUUCGAUUUAUUUUAUAUUUUAUUUAAUUAAAAUAUUAAAUUAUUUAGAUUUUGUAUCUAUUUAGGAUUUUGAAAUUAAAAAAAAAUAUAAUUUAUUUUAUAUUAUUAUUUAUAUAGGAAAUAAAAUAAUUUAGAAUUUAUUUUUAUUUAGAACUUGGGAAAACAUAGAAGUUUAAUUAAUUUAGAUUUUUAUAUAAGAAUGUCAUUAAAUAUAAUUUGAGAAUUUAUUUGAUUGUCAAUUUUUAUUGAAGAAUGAUAUUAUAUUUUUUGGGACUUAUAUUUAUUUAGGAUUUUAAAAACUUAUAAAUUUUAUUUAGUUUUAAUUUUUAUUUAAGUAGGAAAUAAAAUAGUUUAAGAUUUUGUAUUUAUUUAGGAUUUUAAAAAACUUAAAAAAAUUUAUUUAUUUGAUAUUUUUAUUUAAGAAUGACAUUUAAUUAAUUAGAAUAUGUAUUUAUUUUGAAUAAUUUAACAUUUUAAAAAGAUAGAAAUUUUAUUUAUUUUUGAUAUUUUUAUUUAAGUAUGUCAUAAAAUAAGUUAGGCACCGGAGAAAGCAAUGGCUUGUAGCUUGCAACCACACACUAAAUGAUAUCCAAAUAAUUUAAAAAGACUUGGGCUCAAGAAUUGUUGUUUUAUAUUUUUCCAUAUAUAUGUGUCAAAUUGAUAUAUAUAUAUAUAUAUAUAUAUAUAUAUAUAUAAUAUAUUUAUUUAUUUAUUUAUUUAUUUAUUGCUGCUUGGAUGAAAUAGACUAAAUAUAUAUCUUACCAAUUUCUCAUCACUCGUAAUAACAACGUAUUAAAAAUUAGAAUAUGAUAAUGAAAUGACUUUAAUUUAGUGGUUAGAGGUAUCUGGUUAGUGGUCCUAAGUUUAAGUCUCACCUACAACAAGAUGGUAAUAAUAAUAUAUUCUAAUAAUUAGAAAUAAUAAUCGUGAAUGAUAAAUAAUAUUUUUAAAUUAAUAAUAAUUAAUAACACUAAUAAUUAUCGACAGAAUAUUUUAUUGGUAUAUUUAUCGAUAGAAUAUUUUUCGUCAAUAAAUUUAUCGACAAACAUAUUAUUAGUAAAUUUUUGUCUGUUUUUUUUCAUCGGUAAUACAUGCUUACCAUCGGAUUUUUAUCUUAUCUAUGGAUAAGACUGUUGAUAAUAUGUUUUUUUUUAGUAUGUGAAACUUUUAUCAUUAGUCCAUUCAUUUCUUACUUUUAAACUGAAUAAUCUUAAAGUUGCUAACAAUCUUGUGAAGUUAUUGAAUAUUGGAUAAUUGUUUCUCCAAAUCAAGCAUCAAAGAAUCAUACACAUGUAUUUUUCCAAAAUUUUGUUACAACAAUCAUGUAUCAUUUCCUUUAAAUUAUCGUUUAUCCCUUCUUUAAUAUUUUUUAUCGUCAACAUAAUUUGAGUGACUAAUAUUUUUUCAUGUCGUAAAUAGCUCUUAACAAUAUCAAAGAUAAAUCGAUGAUAAUUAUAAUAUCACAACUAUUAUAUGAUAUGAAUAAUUGUUAUUUGAUUCUUUGAUUUCUUGAAAUUAUAUCAUGCUUGUUAUGAUGUGUUGUAAUUUUUUCUUUUGUUUGCAUUGUAUUCCUUUUAUAUCUUUUGAGUCCAUAAAGUGUUUUUCCAUGACUGCAAAAGGAUGAGUAUGACGGUAUUUGAUAAGCAUAUAUUUACUCACACUUAAUAGUUUUAAUCAUAGAUGUCUUUGACUAAAAUCAUGUAUAACUCUACUAUUUUAAGUAAGAUUCAUCUAACUUGGUACAUUGGAUGGUCUAAUAAGAGCGUUUGCUAAAGAGUUUUAAGGAAGUUUUUAUCUCUACAAGUGGGUCGAAUAUGCGAAAGUCCAAGUUACUUCUUUGAGUCAAAAUGAGAAAAAAAAAUCUCAGGGGAAGAAUUAGAGAAUAAAAUCUAAUAUAUCAUAAAUAGAAUUGGAAGUAAAUCUUCUGCAAAAUACAAUAAAAAACAUAGUUCACGAUGAAAGUGAAAAUAAAAUUUAGGAAUUCUGCAAAAGUUGAAAACUUAAAAUUCGAUGCAAUAUCUAAACUGAUAUAUAUUUUUGAGAUCCUUGGAACAAAGAAACCUACAAAAGGAUGUAAGCUUCAAGGAGAAAUGGGAAAGCUUCAAAACUCAACACAAUGCAUUCAAAAAACAGAGCAUUAGAGUUUUCUUAGGUUUUAUUUGUUUUUCUUCAUUAUAAUUCUUUCGUUUACCUUCAUAUGGAAGGUUAAACUCAUUCAUGUUUAUUCUCUUGUGAUUUUGCAGUGAAUUUUGAGAUUUGUGUUCAAUAAGGUUUUAUUCUUAAAUUCUAUGUAGCAAUUCAUGUAAAAAGGUUUGGUCUUUUUUAAUUUCGAUUUUUGUUAAAGAAUUGUCUUUGAACAAUUGUUAAGAAUUUUGUUAUUUUCUUUAAUUGGAGUUUUUGGUUAGUUUAUUUUAGGGAUAACAAUGCAGAACAAGUCAUGUGGGUUAGACCGCAGUCCGCUACCAAAAACUGCAGGACGAGCUUACUAAUAUAGCCCGCUGACCCGCCCGCAUAACCUGCAACGGGGCAAGGCGGGGCGGGUUGGCCCACUGGCUCGCAUAAAUAAAAAAUUUAUUAUUAUUUGUUUAGUAUAAAAAAAAUCAUACCUCAUUCACCCAUUAUUGCAAUGACAUUUAUUUUAUUUUAUUUUAAAAAAAUUGAAUUUAAUGUACUAAAAAAAGAAUGUUUUAUUUUAAUCAUUUAAAAGAGUUAGUUUUUUUUUAUCAACAAUAAAAAAAAACACUUUAGGGUUGAUCCAACCCAUGUAAAAAAUUGCACAGAAACAAACAACCUCUCCUCCCAGAAGUUUGCUACUAACUUCCUGCUAGAACAAAUACAGUCUGACUAACUUAAAUAAAUCACUUAAGUUUAAUUGAAUACAUACAAACUAGGGGAUCUAGACACCAACAGAAAAGGAAAAACAAGAAGGGACUUUAGAGGUUACCCAGGACCAGACUUUUAGUUGAGCCAUGAAGUUAGUAUGAAGAGUGACAGUGGAUUUAGUUUUAGGUAAAGUCUUAUAUUUAAAAUUUGUUAAUAAAAAAUAAUAUAAAGAAGAGAUUUCAAUAGGAUAGUUAAAAAAUUAGUCAUCUUCAUUAAAAUAUUCGUAUAUAUUUACAUACAUAUAUAGAAAAAAUAGAUGCAAAACAACAAUUUUAAUUAUUUUUAAUCAAACCUUCUAACAAUCCCCAUACUUCAACUUAUAUUUUAAUCUUAAUUGAAUGAAUUGAAACAUGAAUAAAAUUUUAACUUUUCAGUAGUAGAAAUAUUUUUUUUUAUAAUUAAUGAAAUUUUAAUUUUUGAAAAAAAAAUAAUUUUCUUAUGCGGGCUGGCUCGCAGGCCCGCGGGUUAUUUCUUAUGUGGGACGGGUCAGUGAAAUGAGUCCGCACUUGUUGUAUGGGGCGUGCUAACACAGUCCGCAUUUUGUGGGCCAAACGCAAGACGGGCCUAUGCGGGGCGAGCCAACCCUCAUUGUCACCCCUAGUUUAUUUAAUUAUAAUCAAUUUUUUGUUCACUUAGUCAAGAGAUAAACGAUAAACAUUUCACAAGUAGAUGCUUGGAACUUGUGAGAUACUAAAUACAUCAGUAAACGAUUGUUUUGAUAAUAAGAUUAUGUUGACUUGGUUUGUUGAUAAGAUUCUAUUAAAUUCUAUUGACACUUGUUUGGUUAAGUUUGACAUUAUGUAAAAAUUGAAAAAAGUGAACAUCUUAAGAAAAUCAAUAAUAAAUUCAAUGUUGAAUGAACUUAAGAGUUGGACUGGAUUUUUUUUACUAUUUUUCAAUUAUGUACUUUAUUUUUCUACACAAUAAUCUCAAUCUUUUUAUUUUCAUUAUUUUUUCUCACCAUUUUGAUUGCAAAUAAGUUUUGAAUACUAUCUUAACUAGAUUCAGUAGUGGAUUUGUUGGAAGAUGACUUGGAGUCAUCUAACCUUAACUACACUAUCAUUUUUCUAUGAUAUUCGACGAUUUACGCUUGAAUCAUUUUAAUUUCACCACUAAAUGAUAGUUAUCACAAAUCAAUGCUUAUUUAGAGAUUAAAAUAAAAUCUUAUUUUAAAUUUUGUAUAAAAUAAUUUCAUACAAAUAAAACAACAUACUAAUGUACAUAUUAAAUAAUCACCACACUAAAGUAUCAUAAAAAUGAAAUAAUUCUCCUUUAAAUUUUUUUAAAUCAGCAUACCAAUGUUAUAAGAAAAAAUUCAAAAAUAUAAUUAUUAAAUAUUGAAUAUUUAUCCUCAAAUGUGAAAAAGAAAAGUUCAACGAAGACACCAAAGAAAAAUGAAGAUGAAAAACGAUUAACCUUCACAAUAGUGAAGAGAAUAAAUGAUAAGUCUUCACAUUUUACGACAAUAUCAACAAUCAUAAUCAAUGGAGACAACAAAAACCAUAACUAUCACAAUAAAAAUAACAACAACUGAGACAAAAAAUAUUAUAUUUAUUUUAGUGUAUUGAAAAUAAUAGAAUUUUACCAUAACUUAUUUUUUAAAUUGAAUAUUAUAUUUCCUCAUCAACCUCAAUAUGUAAUAAGGAUAAAUCUAAACAAUGAUAGUAGUAUGUAAAUAAUGACAAAAUCUUUGUAGUUGAAAAAAAAUCAACUAUAAACCGCAAUGAUUGUUUUAUUGAUAAAAUCUUUAAAUUUUUGUAUAAUAUUGUAUAUCUAAAAUAUAAGAAUAUAUUUAACUAAUCACCAACAUAAAAAGUGUUGGCGAAGACUAUACGUAAAAUGCUACAAAUGUAAUUAACGAAUCAACGGUUACAUUUAUAAAAGAAAUACAAAUGUGAUAAGUUGUGGAGGAUAAAUUAAUAUAUAUAUAUAUAUAUAUUUUGUAACAUUAUGUUUUCUAAUCAACAAAUUUUAAAAAAAAAGAUUGAUUUAUAAUAGUGAUUGUACAAAUCAUAUGAUUAAUUUUUUUCAAAAAGCUCAACAAAUUUAAUAUUUUAAAGUAAGAAUUAAAAAUGAAGACCCAUUUAUUUUGGAAGAUAUAGAAACAAUUGCAAUUGAAAUUUAUUUAGGUAUCAAAUUACCUUUUAAUGUCUUGAUAUUAAUCUUUUGAUUUGUUAAUAGUUGUUCAACUUUAAAGAAAGGUUAAUAAAAAUAGAUUUGAUGAAAGAAAAGUUAACUAUAAAUGAAAAGAAUGAUUUAAAAUUAAAAAAAGAUGGAUAUUUCUUGAAGAAAUUUGAUGUCCAAGAAGAAAAACUAGAAAAAAAAAACACAUUUUAACAUCAUCAAAGAUUUCAAUGUUACUACCAUGAAAUGAGAUUAAUAAAAAAGAAAUAUAAUGAAAGAAUUAAAUAGAAAAAGAAAGAAAAAUGAAGCACUAAAAAAAGACAAUUAAAUCUUGAAUUUAAAAUUCAAAUAAAGAGCUAUUAAGAUAAAGAAGAAUGUUAAUAUUUGCUUCAUUUUAUUUUAAUUAAUUUGUAAAUAAUCUUUUAAUUUUUUAAACGUUCUAUACAAAAUAUAAAAAAGGAAUUUAAUUAUUAUUAAUAUUCUAUUCGACAUAUAGAAUAUUUUACUCCAAGUAUAAAAUAUCAAAAUAAAAUAAAUAACAAAUUCUUUCAUAAUAAUAUAUAUAAUAAAAAUAAAAUAAAUAAGAACCUCAAAUAUUAUAUAUUUCUUAUAUCAUCAACAAAGCUAUUUAUUACAAUAAAGUAUCACGAUCUUCCUCUAGGAUGAGUUCAACCCCAUUGUUUGUUUCUAAAUUCCGUAGCGUGUCAUACAUUUGUUUCGAGCAUUCCCUUACAUUUACUCUUCUCAAGCCACUCAAAGACCAAAGUUCAUUUGGGAGAUCAUCUAAGCUUUCACAAUUGUAGAUGAUCAAACUUUGAAGCCUUGACAUUCCACCAUUGCCUAAUUUCCACUUUUCAAGACUCAAAUAUGCCAUUUCAAAAACUUCCAAUUUUGGGAAGCUGCCUUCCACACAAUUCAGGUCAAAGGAAUCCCCCUUAUAUAGAGGUCCCCAAAGUUCCAAAAUUUUGAGUUUGGUGAGAUUUCCCAAACCAUUCAUCCCCUCAUCAGUAAUGCGGUUAAUCUCUGACAACUCUAACUCCAUAACGUUUGGAGGAAAUGUGAAUGCACAAGUCAGAAGGUCAAAAACAUUUUCAAUAAUUAAGAAAGUUAUACAAUUGAACUGCCCUAGGCUUUGCAACAGUUCUUUCGGCUUGCAACCUUUGUCAUAAAUAUCCCAGAGGACAAUCUCUAACUUACUCAAAUGACUUGAUUGUUGUAGGCUUUGCAACAAUUUGGUUAUUUCAUCAUCUUUGUAUUCAGAAGUCACACACAACCUUAUCAUCUUAAGAUUGGGGAAUGUUCCUUUCUUUAUCAGAGAUGUUGCUUGUCUGUUGACUACGAGGUCAGAGAUGGUUUGAAGAUUCCACAUCUUCUCAUCUGAUCCUGAACAAUUGCCUCGUAGCUUGAUAGGCCCUCGUGCAUUCAAAUGCCUUAAAUGUUUAAGUUUCCACAUUUCGACUGGGAAAGAAAUUUCAGUCACAUACCUCCAAUUACUUAGGUCUAUGAUUUGUAGAUUCCAAAGGUGAAGUAUUGAAGAUGGAACAAAUGUAAAAUCAGAUGUUGCUUCAAUUCUCAAGUACCUUAAGUGGAUAAAGUUCCCUAAAUUAGAAAGGGUGCUAAGCCAGGUUGGUCCAAGCUCCAACACUCGAACCAAUUUGAAGUCUUUUGAAAGCCAUUUCCACUGCUUCCCAGUACCAAAGUCAUCUUGGCCAAAUAAGAACAGGGAUCGGAUACAUGAAUGAUCAUUGUUGCUCGAAGAAAUGUAAUGACCCACCUUACAGUGAAUGGAUAGUCUACGAGGUUUUGUCGGGAUUAGAAUGUUAUUGUCUGUGCAAAUUUCAAAAACUUUGUCCUCUUUACUCUCUGAUAUGCAGAGGUCUCGAAGAAGAUCAUGAACGUGAACAUCUCUAUUAGUCUUCCCUUUUGCUACUUGGACCAAACUACGAUCGAUGAGCUCAUACAAGUAGUCUUCAGCAACUUCAUCUGGAUCUCUAUUCCCUGUAUCUUGUAUAAAACCCUCGGCAACCCAUUUUUGCAAUAAUGGCGUAACAGGGAUUUGAAAGUCUUCAGGAAAUAUCCCAAGAUAGAGAAAGCAUGGUUUUAAUCUCCUUGGCAAGUUGUCAUAGCUGAGUUUGAGAACUAUAUCCUUCACUUGGGUAUGAUCUCGAGUGAGAUACCAAUUAACAUGACCCACCACUUUUGACCAUUCUCUGUGUGAUUUUUCCUUGUAGGCUAGCAGUCCUGCUAAGACAAUGAUGGAGAGCGGCAAACCACGACAACUUUGAACCAUUUGCUUUCCAAGAGCCUCCAAAUCAGAAGGGUAGUCUUCACCCCUAAACACUUUCCUGCAAAACAACUCCCAACUUUCUUCUUCACUCAGGAACUGCAGAUAGUAAGGAAGAUCAUGGGAAGUAUGCAGUGCCACCUCUUUCAAACGACUAGUGAUCAAUACUCUGCUGCCUCUGUUGUUGUCCGGAAAAACAUCUUGCACCUCGUCCCAAUCUUGCCUUUUCCACAGGUCAUCUACCACCACAAGAUAUGUUCUACUCUCCAAGCUGUUUCGCACCAGUUUCUUCAGCUCCUCCUCACUCAAGCUACUAUUGUCUUGAGUGCUUUUCUUUCCUUUCUUCUUGCCUCUGCAUUGUUGUUCAAAAUUUGGCAUCAAAUGCUUAAGAAGGCCAAGCAAAAGCUCCCUAACUCUGCACUCGUUUGACACAUAAACCCACGCUCGACACUCGAAGUGUUGCUGCACCUCGCUGCUGUUAUAGACCUUCCGAGCAAGGGUGGUCUUGCCCAAUCCCCCCAUGCCAAUGAUAGAGACAACUUUACGAUUUGAACCACCUUCCAAGAUUCGUUUGAUGAUAUCCUUGGAGUCAUCGACAAAGCCAACCACAUUUUCUUCCUCUACAUCUCUUCUUAGCUUGUGUAAUGAUUGCGCCCUUUCCUUCUCCUCCUCCUCUUCUGCUGCAGAUUGAUUAUUGAUUUCUUUGAAAGCAUCAUAUUUGUCCUUGUUGUCGCGUAUUUCGUUGAGAGUGGUUUUCAUCUUGUCUACUUUGUCGGCUACGUCAUGGAGCAACCUUACUUGGCCAAAGCCAUGAAGCAUCCUCCCGAGCAUGGUUCUCCUCUUGUAAAUGGCAACUUUGGCUACGAAAGUGUCGAUGACAUCCUCAGCUAGGUGGGCCACAUCUCUGAUUUGGUUCACCACUGUAUUUGAAAUUCCUUUCUUUCUCUUUGAGGUAUUGAGAAGUUCGUUGAUCAUUUGAAGCUCGUUCUGGAGGGACUGGACCCUGUCCUUCACGCCAUACAGCAAGUUAGCUUCACGUGCCACAAGCUCAGAUAAGUGAUCCAAAACAAAGGAAACUACACUGUCUGCCAUUACAGCAUAGACGUGCCUGCAGAUUUUGAUCUGUGCUUGGAUAAUGUGUUUGUGGUUGGUGAUGGAAGAACAACAAUGGAUUGUAGCUUGCAGCCACAUCCUAAGAUAUAUCUGAAUAUAUAUUAUCGAAAGAAAAGUGAUUGCAAUAAUUAAUUUACAAAGAAUAUCUGGUUUUAUUUUUGCAUUGACUUAGAGUCAGCCAUGAUUGUGGUUGAACUGAAGCUUCCACUCAUUUUCAAAGUUGAGUUGGAGCGCAUAUUGCUGAGUCAGAAUGCACCUUCCUGCUACGUGCAUGUCACCUUCUACUUUACUUUUAUGAGCCACGUUAUUAGAUGCAAUCAAACAACAUAUAUACCCUACCAAUUUCUCAUCAUUAAUAUCUUAUAUUCACAAUUUACAUACAAAAACUAAUUAAUGUACUAAAUAUGUUAAUAAUUAAUAUGAAAAGUGGUUGCAAUAAUUAAUUUAAAAAGACUUGGGGUCAAGAGUUAUUGUUUUAUAUUUUUCCAUUGCUUUUUCGUCCACAAUGAAUAAAGUUUUACCUUCCACUCAUUUAAGUUCACAUUGCAGCUUCGUGGUAUGUGCAUUGCACCUUCUACUCAUUUGUCAAAUUGCAAUAUAAUAUUUCCACGUUGAGAGUGCAAUAGAAUAAUAUAUGUGUAAAUCAUUGAUAUGCUUUUCCACAUUUUGUGACUACUUAAUUCUUCUAAGCCACACUGUUUCAUAUCUUAUCGUCCAAACCAAUCAAAAUUACAGAGACACAGUCCAACCUCUCUCUCUCUCUCUUCUCUCUCUCUAUAUAUAUGAAAAUUUAAGAAACAGUAAAAAGAUCACUGAAUAUUAAAAAUCAUACAAAUUUUAAUGAAUUGUUUAUUUUAUUGAUUGAAUUUUAUAAAAUUUGCAUGAUUUUUUAUUUAUAUAUAAUUGUCAUUAUAUAAAACAAAUUCUAUUUAUAUACUCAUUCAAACUUUUUCUCAAUUUCAACUCUGAUAAAAGUAGAACUCUAUCUUCCAAUUUCAAUCUUUUUUUUAUUUAGGCAUAACUAAUUGUAUUGCGUUAUUUUUCUGAAUUAUGGUUUUCUACAAACAAUUUUUAGAUUAUUUAUUAUUAUUGUUAUUAUAUAUGAUUGUUCGAUAAAUCAAAAUUUUAUAUAAGACUCUACAAUCAUUCUAUGUAAAUCAUUAGUAUAGGUCAUAAUAUUUUUUUUUGGGUAGAUUUUAUCUAUAUAUAUAGAUUAUGUAAUUAAUAAUUGAUUUCACAAGCUGGGAUAAGUGAUCUAAAACAAAGGAAACUACACUGUCUGCCAUUACAGCGUUGAUGUGUAUGUAGAGUUUGAUCUGUGCUUUGAUGGUGUGUUUGUGGUUGGUGAUGGAACAAGAGAAAGCAAUGGAUUGUAGCUUGCAACCAAACACUAAAGGAUAUCGAAAUAUAUAUUAUGAAAGUGGGUGCAAUAAAUAAUUUAAAAAGACUUUGGUUCAAGAGUUCUGGUUUUAUAUUUUGUUAUAGAUUUAGCGUGAACCACGAAUAAUGAAAAGUCUCUGCAAUAAAUAAUUUAAAAAGACUUGGGUUCAAGAAUUCUUGUUUUAUAUUCUUCUAUAGGUUUUGCGUAAACCAUGAAUAAUGGAAAGUGUGGGUGCAGUAAAUAAUUUUAAAAGACUUGGGUUCAAGAGUUCUUGUUUUAUAUUUUUCCAUUCAUUUUUCGUCAACCAUAAAUAAUCUCUAUAGAAUUCCAUAUAUAUAGAGAUUCUAUUAUAGUAUUCUAUUAAAAGAACUUCUUAUAAUAUUCAAUCAAGAUUAUAUAAAUUAUUUUUAAGAAUGCAUUAAAAUCAUAUGAUAUUUAAAUUAAAUUUAAGAAACAGUAAAAAAAGCAUUGAAUAUUAAAAAUCAUACAAAUUUUAAUGAAUUGUUAUUUUAUUGAUUUUUUCUAUAAAAAUUGCAUAUUUUUUAUUUAUAUAUAAUUGUCAUUAUAUAAAAAAAAUCCAUAUAUAUAUACUCAUUCAAACUUUUUCUUCAACUCUGAUAAUAGUAGAACUCUAUCUUCCAAUAUUUCAAUAUUUUUUGCUUUACAUACAAGUAAUUGUUUGCGUUAUUUUUCUGAAUUAUGGUUUUCUACAAACAAUUACUUAAUUUUGUUAUUAUUAUAUAUUAACUACCAAUUAUUUAUAUUUUAAAUUUGAUAGAAAAACCUUGAUUGCUAAUUAGUACCAAUUUAGAAACUAUUUAACCUAAUAAAAACUAAUUUAUAAACCAAAUUUUGUUUAGUCUCUAAAAUAAUCUUUAAUUUAGUCAAUAUAACAACUAAUUAUUUUUUUUCUAAAAAUUAGUUUCUAUUUCAUUGUGUUUUCUUAUAGUAAAAAAAGAAUUCGUAUAAAAUUUAGUUAUUCAUAUCAGGUUAAAAUUACACAAAAGUUUUCUCUAAACAAAUCUAAAGUGAGGUAUUGACUCUACACUUAUUUACGUGCACCUCCAAACAUAUAAAAACGUUACUUACAAACGCAAUCCAAACAUAAAAAUUUAAUGAAAUUUAAUGAAAGACAUAAAAAAAAAUAGUUCAUCCACUUUAUAAUAUGGUUAUUUGCCUAUAUAAUAUUUUAAGAGAUUUUUUGUUUUUCCACUUUUAUGAGUAGUUAAUCUAUCUAGCUACAUGUUUAUUUAUACCUUUAGGAGAAACAAUAAAUUUAAAAAAUAUGUUUUUUUUGUUAAGAGCACUUAAGGAUGAAAAUAAUUAUAAAUUUUAUUUAUUUAAUUAUUUAUCUAUUUAUGUUGGAUUGUGACUUAUUUGUAUAAAGUAAGAUGAAGAUUCAUGAAAAAAUUAGUAUUCUUAAAUAUGACAUUACUUACUUUUAAAGAGUUCUUAUUAGGUAUGACAAUACGAGAUGGGUCAUGCAGGUCCGUCCGUAAUCCACUAACAAAAGGCGUGGGUGAAUUCAGUAAUUUUACUCGCCAACCCGUUUAAGCUUCCCACAUAAAGCACAACCCGCGUGGGUCAAUAGUGGGAUAGGAUGGGCUGACCCGCUGAUCUGCACACAAACAAAAUGUAAAGUUGUGUAUUUAUGUCAAACACCAAUAUUUGAAUAGAUUCAAAAUAUAGAAAGAGAAACAUGUCAAUAAUAUUUUUUCAAAUUUGACUAAACUAGUUGAAUCAUCAUUUCAUUUCUUUCUUAUGAUGUAUGGUGGGAGUAUGAUCAUAUUUUAUAAAUAUAGAAAGAAAGAAAAAUCAACAAUGUUUCUUCAAAUUGGAUUAAACUAGUUAAACCAUCAUUUUUUUUCUGUUUAUUAGAAUCGUAUUUUAUUUUGUAUAAUGACCAUUUAUUUUGUAUGAUGACUAGGUUGAAUCAUUAAUUUUAAUUAUAUGUUUAUUUUAUAUUAUCCGAUAAUGUUUUAAUUUUGAAAUUGAAUUGGAAUGAAUGAGAAAUGUAUUGGAUAGUGUCUUUGUGGUUGGUAAUGGAAAAAGAGAAACCGUGAUUUACAUAGGACUGGUGAUAAUUUAAAAAGACUUGGGGUCAAGAGUUAUUGUUUUAUAUUUUUCCAUUGAUUUUUCGUCAACCAUGAAUAAUGAAAAGUGGAUGCGAUAAAUAAUUUAAAAAGACUUGGGUUCAAGAAUUCUUGUUCUACAUUUUUCUAUAGAUUUUGUGUGAACCGUGAAUAUUGGAAAGUGGGUGCAGUAAAUAAUUUAAGAAGACUUGGGUUCAAGAAUUCUGGUUUUAUAUUUUUCCAUUGAUUUUUCGUCAACAAUGAAUAAUGUUGAACUGAUUUAAGUUCACAUUGCACCUUCUACUCAAUUGCCAAAUUGCAAUAUAAUAUUUCCUCCUUCACGAGAUGCAAUAGAAUAAUAUAUAUACUUUAAAUAUAUAUUGCUUGGUGGUUGGAUAAAAUAGACUAAAUAUAUAUAUCCUACCAAUUUCUCAUCACUCAUAUCUAAUAUUCACAAAUAACACAUCAAAACUUAUCAAUAUACUAAAUAUGUUCAAAAAUAUUAUUUUGGUUAGUUAAUAAGAUCAAUUGAAGUUUAAAAAUACUAUUUUUUCCAUAAAAGCUACGUAUUAUAGUAUUCAAUUAAAUAAAUUCUUAUAAUAUUCACACUACUACAAGAAAAUAAGUAAAUAGAAAUUAAUUUUAUAGACCAAAAUAAUUAGUUAUUAUUUGACUAAAUUAGAGAUAUUUUAUAAACUAAAAUAUUAUUGUUAUCCAAAAUAGUUUCUAUUAUUAAUAAAAAAUUAUAAAAUGGUUAAAUACCAAUUUAGAAAUCAUUUAAAAAAAAAUUAAUAAUAGAAAAUUUUUUAGAUAUGAAUAAUUUUUUAGUAUCUAAAUUAGUAUAUAAUUUAAUCAAUACAGUAACUAAUUAUUUUUUAUUUCUAAAUUUAGUUAUUAUUUAAUAAUUUUCUUAUAAUGUAUAUAUUAUAUAUUAUAUAUUUAUAUAUAUAAUACAAUUGAAAUCAGGUUAAUAUAUUUUCUUUAACUUUUUAGGUUUAUCUCACUUACAUUGUUUCAUUGAAAUACGUCGUUUCAUUAAAAAAAAGUCAUCUACUCCUAUACUGGUAUGGCCGACCGACAUGCUGACGUGUCUUGGUCAUCCUGACCGAACUGAUCGAGACACCCACGGACGGUCUGGCUGACCGACACAUAUAACCAUUAACGCUCAAACCAAGGUCAGUGAAGCUAAACUAUCAUUAAGAAUUAUGUAAUGCAACCAUAAGUGUGAUCCAUUCCACUAAUCAGGUCCAAUGAGAUAAGCCCAUUAAAAUAAUAUAAAUAGCACACAUUCCAAGGAACAAGGUACGUCAUUAUUACUAUACACCUACCAGAGUGUCGAACGUCCUCUUUACUGACUUGAGCGUCGGAGUGCCUAUUGCAGGUACUUCCCCCAUUUGGCAUUCACCCGAGACUGAGAGCCGAAGGAGUAGCAUGAAGGCGAGAAGGAUCCCAACGACACCCUAGCAACUUGCUCGAGGAAAGGAGGAAGACAAAGACUUCAAUAGCUCUUUAGGUCUCAUCUCCCUAGCAGGAACAAUUGGCGCCCACCGUGAGGCCGAGAGAAAAUAGAUGGUCUCAACCAGAAGCAUGGAAAGGAUGACUGAUGCCGACCAGACAUUGUUGUUGUCUCUGUAGAGAGAGAUGGCCGAGAUGAAUAGGAGGACAGAGGAAGCUGUCCAGAAGAACGAACAAGAGAUGCAGGCUCUCCGAAGGGAGAAUGAAGAGAUGAAGAAGAAGCUGAUGGAGGGAGGACUGUCCACUGGGCCGACCAAUGUCGUCGACAGGUCCUUCACCUCUCCUCCCACAUCGAGACCGGUAGAGGAGACAAGAGACAAGGUUCCCACCCACGAGAUGGAGGGAGAAUCUUUUAUCAACAAGUCGGUCAGGACGACCAUCACCAUGGACUUGGUCCGCCGACACCCAUUCACCAACCCUAUCAUUGAAGUCCCACUACCAGACAAGUGGAAGGAUUUCAACCGAGAUCGAUAUGACGGGUCUACCGACCUGGACGAGCACAUGGAUGCCUACACCACCCAUAUGAGUCUCUACACCUCAGACGAUGCAGUGUUGUGUCGAGUGAUUCCCUCAUCGCUAAAGAGAGCAACCCUUAGCUGGUUUACCAAGCUCCCACCUAACUCCAUUGAUAGCUUCGCCACACUCGUGACGAAGUUCGAGACUCAGUUUGCCACCAGCAGGUCACACAACCUGACCUCCAUCGCCCUGGUACGCAUCCGCCAAGAGAAGGGAGAGUUGUUGAGAACCUUUGUUGAUAGGUUCAACAAAGUGGCAAUGAGCAUCUGGAACCUCAGCCCAGACGUUGUGUCAUGCAUCACAUGCUGGCAGCCCUGCGCCCAGGACCCUUUGCUGACAACCUGUGCAUGCAAUCAGUCGCCAGCUUGGACGAGAUGAGGAAGAAAGCCGCCAAGUAUAUGCAGCUGGAAGAGCUCAGAGAAUUCCGCAACCAGGCCCGUGCCGAGGCUAAUGGAGAGAAGAACAAGGAAGAGAAGGACCGCCAAGGCCGAUUAGGCCAGCGGGGUGACAGACGCAGAGAUAAUAGAGAUCGAGCAAUCUGAUUCUCGAGAUACACACCUUUGACGACCGAGAGGGGAAGGAUUCUAGACGAGGCACUCAACGCCGAGUUGAUCCCUCCUCCCAGAAAGGUGGCAAGCCCAAACAAUGUCGACCGAAGAAAGUAGUGUCGGUAUCACCAGAACAGCGAGCACUCCAGUGAGGAAUGCCAGGCUUUGAAAGGUAAGAUUGAAGAGCUCAUCCAGGAUAGGCACUUGCGCUGAUUCGUCAGGAAUGGCCGAGACGCAGGAUGCUCACCUCGUAGAGAGGAGCCCUCCAAGAGAAGGAGAUCACCCGGGGCCGAGAUGACCAAGACCGCGGGGACGAUCCUCCCAGGGAGGCCGAAAGAAGAGGUAACCGAGAGGUUAUCAACACCAUAGCCAGCGGCUUUGUUGGAGGAGGAAGUACCAACAACGCCCUAUGCUAGAAUAUCUGGAUAUAGAGGAGACGUGGUCCCAAUAUUCAAUUUAUUUUGCAGGGGUGUUGAUAUUGUUUAAAGUUGUAAAAAUAUUAGAUUUUGAUUGUUUAGUAUGUAAGUGUUGAUUUUUUUAUGUUAAAUAGGAUUUUAAAUGUCGUGGAUUUCGUUUUGAAAGAAAUUGUACGAUGAAAAUGGUAUGGAAUUGAAUUCAUACAUUUUGGAUAAUGUAAAUGUAUGAACUGAUGUUUAUUGGUGUAUUAAGUACUGAUGUUUAUGUGGUAACAGAGAUCUCCGAGCUUCACUGAUAAUUUAAAUCACAUACACUAAGAUAUCAGGUGGUGAGAAGUUGAUGGGGGAGUUCAUCACACCGUGACAUAUGAGAUGCAUGACUUGGGUUGUAUUGAACUUACCAUGAUCAUUUCUCUUGAAUUCACUAGUAAUAUUUGGAUCAGGUGUUAGUUUCUGAUAAGACUUACUUGAUAAGGGUCUUCCAGAAUGCAUCAGUUGUUAUUCUAUUUGUUGAAUAUUCUGAAUGUGUGCAUUUGUGUGAGAUCUAUGUGAUUGUUUUAUGUUGGGAUUUGAACAAGAUUGAAUAAUUGAGAAAUUAAUCCAUGUAAUUUGAUUUUUUCUUUUGAUUUAAUUGUGUAUAUUAUAAAAAUUUAUUUUCACUAAUUUACCCUUGUUUUUCUUACUGUGUUGUCAACUGCGAUGACCGUAUCAUACAAAUGUCGAAGGUUAUGGAAGUUUUAAGAUAUUCUUUUGAACCUUAUAUUGUAAAUAUUUAUAUUUUUAUAAGUCACAAUCAUGUAUUAAGAAUAUUUUGAAAAACUAUAAACUCGUAUAUAAACAUAAAAUUUGUAUUGUAAUAAUUAGAUGAAUUUCGUGUUACAUAGCCAAUUUAAUUUGAUUGCCUUAAUAAUUUUAAAACAAAGUAUAGGUAUUAUGUAUAAUACAAUUGAAAUCAAUUUGGCUUAAUAUAUUUUCUUUAACUUCUUACGUUUAUCUUACUUACAUCUUUUCAUUGAAAGACGCCGUUUCAUUAAAAAGAAAAGAAAAACGACAUCUUCUUCCUUUCCCACAUAAUCUCAUAUUUGAAAAUUCCUAUUUGAAACAUUAAUUAAUCUCGUAACCUUUAAAUGCAGUAGAAAUAUUUUAUAUAUUAGUAAUAGUUUAAAUGUAGAGUGAGAAAAGAUAAAUAUUUAGAUUUUUUUUUUCCUAUAAAAUCAUUUGUCUUACAAAUUGUAACUUUUUUUGUUUAAUCUAUUUCUUUCAUAUUAGAUUCAUUGAAAAAUAAUAUGAUUAUAUGCCUAUAUAAUAUUGUAAGAGAUUUUUUUUGUUUUUCCACAUUGUAUGAGUAGUUAAUCUAUCUAGCCACAUGUUUAUUUAUACCUUUAGGAGAAACAACAAAUUUAAAAAAUAAGUUUUUUUUUGUUAAGAGCACUUGAGGAUGGAAAUAAUUAUAAAUUUUAUUUAUUUAAUUAUUUAUCUAUUUAUUUUUGGAUUGUGACCUGUCACUACAAGAAAAUCAUGAAAUAGAAACCAAUUUUUAGAAACCAAAAUAAUUAGUUUCAAUAGGAACUAAAAUAGAGACCAUUUUAGAAACUAACAAAAAAAUUGGUUUCUAAAUUAGUUUCUAUUAUUUUCUAUUAUUGUUAAAUAGUUUCUAAAUUGGUAUCUAAUUAGCAACUAAGGUUUUAGAUACCAAUUAUUUAGUUUCUAAAUUUAGUCUCUAAAACCUUGGUUGCUAAUUAGAUACCAAUUUAGAAAUUAUUUAACAAUAAUAGAAAAUAAUAGAAACUAAUUUAAAAACCAAAUUUCUUUUUAGUUUCUAAAAUGGUCUCUAAUUUAGUUACUAUUGUAACUAAUUAUUUUGGUAUCUAAAAAUUGGUUUCUAUUUCAUAAUUUUCUUGUAGUGUGUAUAAAGUGAGAUGAAGAUUCAUGAAAAAAUUAGUAUUUUUUAAAUAUGACGUUACUCACUUUUUUUAAAGAGUUCUUACAAAUAAAUCUAUGUUUCAAAACAUUUUCAUUUCUUUUUAAUUAUUAUUUUAAACAUUUAUUUUGAUGGUUUCGAAUAUCUAAAUUUUUUACAGAUUUUAAGAAUUGAUAUUAAACCUAAUUUAGAUACAUAGUUCUUUCUUAAUCCAUUAAAUAUGUUAAUUAAGACAAAAUUGUGAUGUUAUUGAAUUCCAAAGUAUUUAGUACCAUAAAUGUGAUAAUCGAAUUUAUGUUAGAGUAAUAUCGAAAUUAAAAUAAUGAUUUCAUCUAAUAGAAAAAGAAGGAUCUAACUUAUUUUAUUGAACUCUAAAAUAGAUAUUAUUUUAGAUAUAUAUAUUUUUACACUUAGGACCUCUAACAAUGAAAAAGUAGUUUUAAAAAUAGGAAAAAACAAAUUUUAAGAAAAUAUAUAAUUUAUAUUUUACCAUACAUUAUUUAACUGUGUUUUAUAGAAUUAGUUAGAAAGUUAAAAGGAUAACUGGAUGUUAAACAAUCAGCCACUAGCUUAAAAUCAAUUAACUCUAGCAGAUUUUUUUUAAACAAGAUUAUUAAAUUAUAAAUAUUUGAUUAAAUUAUCUUCAUAAAUAUAAAAUUAUAGAAGUAUAUAUACGCUAAUAUGGUACUUCAUAUAAAUUAUAGUUUUAUUUUAUUGUUAAAAAUUUAUUCCGAAUAUUUAUCAUUUUAAUUUUUAACUAGUCUUAACAUUUUAUAUUUUUUUAUUUAUAGAUCAAUCAUUUUAAUUAUAUUUUUUAUAUUGUGUAUUAUAUCAUUCAUAGGAAGUAAUAUUGUAAAAUAUUUUCAAACAACUUUAAAAUAAAAUAUCAUAUUUUUAAAUAGACAUACCGUUACUCAGUUAAAAACAUUUUAAUAUUAAAAAAUAGUGUCCAUCAAGAUCAAUAUUUUAAAAUUUAUUAGUAAACUAAUGAAAUGAAUAUUGUGAAUAGGAUAAUCAUUAAAAUAAGUAGUGUGAUAUAAAAUAUUAGAAAGAUAAUUAUAUUACAUAGCAUUAUUAUUAUUAUUGAUAUGUUAUAUGGUAAAAAGGUAAACCACUACACAAACUGAAAACAGAAAAAGCAAUUGUAUAAAUUAGUUGAUAACAAAUUCAAAUGCAAAAAAAGGCUAAAUGAUAUUUGGAUAUAAUUUUAUAUAUAUAUAUAUAUAUAUAUAUAUAUGGAAUAAAAUAAAUUACAAAUUUCUCUUAUCCUUACACAAAUCUACUAAAUAUAACUCUUAAACUAAAAAUCCAAUCAUUAUAUUCAUCAUCUCAGAAGAAGAGUUAACACUCUGUUACUAGUUGAACCCUAUUGUUUAUUUCCAUAUUUUCUAGCAUGGUAGCCAUUUGGUGAGAUGGUUUCAUUACCUGCACUUUUCUCAAGCCAUUCAAAGACCAAAGUUUACUUGGAAGAUCAUCUAAUGUUUCACAAUUGUUGAUGAUCACACUCUGAAGCCUUAGCAUUGCACCAUUGCCUAAUUUCCACUUUCCAAGAUUCAAAUAUUCCAUUUCAAACACUUCCAGUUGUGGGAAACUGCCUGCCAAACAAUUCAGUUCAAAGGAAUUCCCAAAAUAACAUCUAUUUCCCGAAAGUCUCAAAAUUUUGAGUUUGGUGAGAUUUCCCAAACCAUUCAUCCCCUCAUCAAUAAAGGAGUUAAUCUUUGACAACGUUAACUCCGUAACAUUUGGAGGAAAUGCGAGCGCAAAGGUCAGAAGGUUAAAAACAUUGUCAAUCUUUAAGAAAGUUAGACAAUUGAACUGCUCUAGGAUUUGUGAAAGUUCUUGCAGCUUGAAACCUCCUGGAUAACUAGAUAAGAAGAUAAUCUCUAACUCAUUCAAAAGACUUGAUUGUUGUUGUAGGCUCUGCAACAAUUUGGGUAAUUCACCUUCGUAUUCACCAGUCACUCUCAACCCUAUCCUCUUAAGAUUGGGAAAUGUUCCUUUUUUUAUCAGAGAUGUUGCUUGCCUGUUGAGUAAUAGGGAAGAGAUGGUUUGUAGAUUCCACAUCCUCUCAACUGCUCCUGAACAAUUUCCUUGUAGCUCGAUAGAUCGUGCUGUAUUCAAAUGUCUUAAAUAUUUAAGUUUCCAAAUUUGGAUAGGGAAAGAAAUUGGCAUAACAAACCUUUUAUAACCUAUGUCUAUGGUUUGUAGAUUCCAAAGGUUAAGUAUUGAAGCUGGAACAAAAUCAAAAUAAGUUUCUUGUAUUCUCAAGUACCUUAAGUGGAUAAAGUUCCCCAAAUUGGAAGGGAUCUUAUUCAAUCCGAUAUAACUAAACUCCAUUACUCGAACUAAUUUGAAGCCUUUCGAAAGCCACUUCCAUUCCGUCCCAUAAAUAGAGUAACGUGGGUCAAAGAAGAAGAGGGAUCGGAUACAUGAAUGGUCAUUGUUGCUUGAAGAAAUGUAGUUACCCAUGUUACUGUGAAUGGACAGUCUACGAGGUUUUGUCGGGAUUAGAAUGUUAUUGUCUGUGCAAACUUCAAAAACUUUGUCCUCUUUGCUCUCUGAUAUGCAAAGAUCUCGAAGAAGAUCAUGAACCUGACAUGUCUCCAAACGUCCAUUAGUCUUCACUUUUGCUACUUGGACCAAACUGCGAUCGAUGAGUUCGUACAAGUAGUCUUCCGCAAUGUCAUCUAGGUCUCGAUUCCCUGUAUCUUGUAUAAAACCCUCGGCAACCCAUUUUUGCAAUAAUGGUGUGACAGGGAUUUCAAAGUCUUCAGGAAAUAUCCCAAGAUAGAGAAAACAUUGUUUUAAUCUCCUUGGCAAGUUGUCGUAGCUGAGUUUGAGAACUGUAUCUGUCACCUGGGUCUCAUCUUGAGUGAGAUACCAAUUAACAUGACCCACCACUUUUGACCAUUCUCUGUGUGACUUUUCCUUGUAGGCUAGCAGCCCUGCUAAGACAAUGAUGGAGAGCGGCAAACCUCGACAACUUUGAACCAUCUGCUUUCCAAGAGCCUCCAAAUCAGAAGGAUAGUCUUCACCCCUAAACACUUUUCUGCAAAACAACUCCCAACUUUCUUCUCCACUGAGAAACUGAAGAUAGUAAGGAAGAUCAUGGGCAGUAUGCAGGGCCACCUCUUUCAGACGACUAGUUAUCAAUAUUCUACUGCCUCUAUUGUUGUCGGGAAAAGCAUCUUGCACCUCAUCCCAAUCUUGCCUUUUCCACAGGUCAUCUACCACCACAAGAUACCUUCUACUCUCCAACUUGUUCCGCACUAGUUUCUUCAGCUCCUCCUCACUCAAGUUACUACUAGCUCGACUACUUUUUUUACCUUUCUUCUUGUCUUUGCAUUGUUGAUCAAAAUUUGGCAUCAAAUGCUUAAGAAGGCCAAGCAAAAGCUCCCUAACUCUGCACUCGUUUGACACAUAAACCCACGCUCGACAUUCGAAGUGUUGCUUCACCUCGCUGUUGUUAUAGACCUUCCGGGCAAGGGUGGUCUUGCCCAAUCCCCCCAUGCCAAUGAUAGAGACAGCUUUACGAUUUGAACCACCUUCCAAUAGUCGUUUGAUGACAACGUUGGAGUCAUGGACAAAGCCAACCACACCUUCUUCCUCCACAUUUUUUCUUAGCUUGUGCAGUGAUUGCGCCCUUUUCUUCUCCUCCUCCUCUUUUGCUGCGGAUUGAUUAUUGAUUUCUUCGAAAGCAUCAUAUUUGUCCUUAUUUUCGCGUAUUUCGUUGAGGGUGGUUUUUAUCUUGUUUACUUUGUCGGCUACGUCAUGGAGCAACCUUGCUUGGGCAAAGCCAUGGAGCAUCCUCCCCAGCAUGGUUCUCCUUUUGUAAAUGGCAACUUUGGCUACGAAAGUGUCGAUGACAUCCUCAGCUAGGUGGGCCACAUCUCUGAUUUGAUUCACCACUGUAUUAUCAAUUCCCUUCUUGCUUUUUGAGGUAUUGAGGAGGUCAUUGAUCAUCUGAAGCUCGUUCUGGAGGGACUGGAUCCUAUCCUCCACACCAUACAGCAAGUGAGCUUCGCGUGCCACAAGCUCAGAUAAAUGAUCCAAAACAAAGGUAACUACACUGUCUGCCAUUACAGCAAGGACGUGUAUGUAGUGUUUGAUCUGUGCUUGGAUGAUGUGUUUAUGGUUGGUGAUGGAAGAAGAGGAACCGGGUUUUAAAGAGACACAGGAGAAAGCAAUGGAUUGUAGCUUGCAACCAGACACUAAAGGAUAUCCAAAUAUAUAUUAUCAAUGUCUCUGCAAUAAAUAAUUUAAAAAGACUUUGGUUCAAGAAUUCUUGUUUUAUAUUUUUCUAUAGAUUUUGCGUGAACCAUGAAUAAUGAAAGUCUCUGCAAUAAAUAAUUUAAAAAGACUUGGGUUCAAGAAUUCUUGUUUUUAUAUUUUUCCAUUGAUUUUUCGUCAACAAUGAAUAGUGUUUAACUGAUUUAAGUACACAUUGCACCUUCCUGGUAUGUGCACUGCACCUUCUACUCUAUGUGUAAAUCAUUGAUUUGUUUUUCCACAUUUUGUGACUACUUAAUUCAUCUACCCACAAUUUUUCAACUUUAUCGUCCAAACCAAUCAAAAUUGCAGAGACACAAUAAAAAAAAAAAAUCAAAAAAAAAAAUACAAAAAAAAAAAUACAAAAAAAUAAAUAAAAAAAUAAAUAAAUAAAUAUAUAUAUAUAUAUAUAUAUAUAUAUAUAUAUAUAUANNNNNNNNNNNNNNNNNNNNNNNNNNNNNNNNNNNNNNNNNNNNNNNNNNNNNNNNNNNNNNNNNNNNNNNNNNNNNNNNNNNNNNNNNNNNNNNNNNNNACUUUAAAUAUGUAUUGCUUGGUGGUUGGAUGAAAUAGACUAAAUAUAUAUCCUAGCAAUUUCUCGUCACUCGUGAUCUUAUAUUCACAAAUAACACAUAAAAACUUAUCAAUAUAUUAAAUAUGUUAAAAAAAUUAUUUUGGUUAGUUAAUAAGGUCAACUGAAGUUUAAAAAUAAUAAUUUGUCCAUAAAAGGUACGUAUAUAGUAUUCGAUUAAAAUAAAUUCUUAUAAUAUUCAAUCAAGAUUAUAUGAAUUAUUUUUAAGAAUGAAAUAAAAUCACAUGUUUGUUCGAUAAAUAAAAAUAAUGUUUUUUAAAAAAAAUUUAGUUUGUAUACACAUUAUUAAAUCAACACUUUGUUUCUCCUGAUAUUUUUUAAUUUUUAAACAUUUUUUUUUUAAAUAUGUAACACCCAAAUUUUUUUAGAAAUAAAAGUCUUUGAAGAGAGAGUUUGUGUAGCAAAUAGUUAUUUAUACAAGGUUAAAAUUAUCCAAAAGUUUUAUUUACAAAGCAAACCUAAAGUGAGGUAUUGACCCUACACAUGUUAAGAUGCAUCUCCAAACACAUGAAAACAUUACUUAUAAAUCUCAUCAAGCAAGCUCAAGCUCUGACUCACAAGUCACUUAUGGAAUGUUUUCUUAUUAGCUAAAAAUCUCAUAUAUGAAGGCUAAAAGGCAUAAAAAGAAAAAGAAGCACAAAGAAGAGAAGGUGAGGACACUUAUCCAAUGGAGAUAUCAUCCAUGACUUCCUCCUCCACUUCGUCUUCAUCUUUCUCUUUAUAUGUUAAAUCCCCUUUUGUUCAGAAUAUAUGUAGUCAUCAAACUCUCUUAUAUAUUUUGAUUAUGUUUUUAUAUUGUGUUAUAUUACUAUUCGACAUUAUUUUUAACUUUUAUGUUUAUUGUGAAUCAACCAUAAAUUGGUUGAAGUAAAAGGUUGGAAAACUCUCAUAAACUUUUGACCUAAGAUACAAUCAAUAAAUCGUUUAUCUGAAAAUAGAGAAUAACAUAUUGAUAAUCUUUUAAAUCCUUUAUGCAAGUUUAUUUUAUUGAGUUGAAAGAGAAAUGUAAUUCAAUAGAGUAUACUUAAGGUUUGUUCUAUGAGAUUAGAGAAUAACUUUUCAUUUUAAGGAUUGAUGAUAACAAAGAAGAGGCAAAUCUUUAUUUUUGAGCUUAAUGAAACAAGAGAGUGAGGUGAUGAAGUCUAAUUCCAACAAUAUUCAUACCAUAUAUUUAUAUCAAACUAGCUUUCUCAUUUCAAAAAUACAAAAAAUAUUGUAGUGUUUACUUUUAACAUCUCUUUUAAGUUUUUGUUAUUUGAUCUCACUUCAUGUUUUAUUAUUUAUUUUAUGCCUAAUAGUAUAAAAUUAGUGUAGUUCUUAUCAUUACACGAAGUCUCAAUUGAUUCGACACUCUAACUAUCGAUAAGAAUGGUAAAUUACCAAAAAGUCAACAACACAUACUAAGCAUUUCAUAUAAGAAACUAGCAUAAUUCUCGUAUAAGCAUCUUACAUUUUGACUCAAUGACAACGAGUUAUGUUUAAAGCAUCCAGAGUAUGAGACUCUCAUUCAAUAUCUUAUCACUUGAUGUGUCUUAGUCUAUUCACUUGAUGUGUCUUAGUGUAUGUGACUUAGAUACUAAGUGAAGUCAUUAAUCUUUUUAUAAAUUCAAGUAGUUAAUACAUCAUCUCAAACUAUAAAACCAAGAAUAUUCCAAAUUCAAGUAUUUAUUAUUAUAUUUUUUAUGUUGUACAUUCUAUUAUUCAUAUGAUGCCAUAUUGUAAAAUAAUUUUUAUAUAUUGUAUUGAUUUGUUUACCUAUCCAGCUUUGUUUUAAAAAUUAUUAAAACACUUAUAGCUAUUACUAAAAAAAACAAAAAUUCAAUGAGAUUUUCAUUAAGAUAGUCUUUUUUUUUCUUACAACUUUAAUUGAUUACAUAUUUAUUUAUUUUUAGUGGUUUCUUUCAAAUAGUGUAUUGUAUUUUUAGUGGUAGGCAAAAUGUCCACUUAGUUAAAACAAGUCUUCACUCAAACUUUGAUACAUUUGAAACAUUGCAAUGGUAGGCAAAAUGUCGAUUUAGCUAAAACAAGUCUUCACUUAGAUUUGAGGGUUGUGCAGUGGUAGACAGAAUGCCGACCUGGUUAAAACAAGUCAUCAAUUAGAUUUACGGAACAGUGUAGUGAUAGAUAGAAUGGUGACCUGGUUAUAACAUAUCUUCACUUAGACUUGGAAAGUUGUGGAGUGUUAUGGUUCAAGUCCGAUCUCUUUAACUCAAAUUUUAGUAAUAUUUUUAAUAGGUAGUUGAUUGACUUGUAAGAGUAAGAUACGAAAUUAAACCCAUUUAAUAGAUGAAUCUCGAUAUUAUAGAAGAAUUUAAACCACUUUAAUAUGAAUCAUUAUAUAUAUUGUUAUAUUAAAAAUAUGUAAUUAGUAAUAAAUAAAAUGAAUAGAGACUUAAAAUCAUAAUGAAGGGUGAGAAUAAACAAAUAUGAUAUUAAAGGAUUAAAAGGGAUGGUGACAAAGGAAAGAAGAUAUAUUGAAGGUUCUGCUUAGGAUCUCCUUUCUUCUUGCCUAGAACACAUCUCAAUAAAUAUAAUUACCACUUUCAUUAAAUCAAAUACUUUUCUUGGACAUAGAUUUAAUUAUUCCAUCACAACCUUGAUUAUAUUUUUUUUUCUUUAUGUAAUUUUGUUGAAAAGGUAUAUUGUAUGUUAUAAAAUGCAAUUCUCAAACUCAUUGAAUUAAUACAUUUAUCACUUUUACAUCUUUUCGAUAAUUAUUUUUUAUCCUAAUCCAAUUUUUGUUAUUUGGUAUUCUAAUUUGAUAUUCACAAAUGUUUUUUUAUAUUUUAAAUUUAUAAACGAAGAUGUGUAUCUUUCAUAAAAAAAAUAAUUAAUAUUUAAAACCCUAAAAAAUUAAUUUAUACUUCUUACAUAUGAGAAUGGAAGAUGAAGAAUUUUCAAUUUAGAAAUAAAAAUGAGGAUAGUAAAACUCGCAACUAUCUCACCUUAUUUCUAGUAUGCUAAGGAAUUAAUUUACUAUUUUUUUAUUUAAAUUAUUUUUUAAAAUCUUUUAAUUCUUUAAAAAUAAUUUUAUCUAAAAAUAUUAAAAGAUUGAGAUAUUAUUAGUAAUGUAAUAUGAUUUUACAAUUUCUACACCACAUACAAAAUACAUCCAUAAAAUAAAUAACAAACUAUUCACUAUAAUAAAUUUCUUCGGUUUCACUAGUAUAAUUCAUAUUCAGAAUAGCUAAAUCUAUGGAAUCCAACGAAUCCAUCCACUCCAUCUGAGGUUGACGAUCCUCUGUGACGAUUUGAAUCCCAUCGUUUAUUUCCAAAUUUCGCAGCAUGUUAGCCAUUUUUUCUGAGGGUUUCAUUACCUGCACUUUUCUCAAACCACUCAAAGACCAGAGUUCAUGUGGGAGAUCAUCUAACCUUUCACAAUCGUUGAUGAUCACACGUUGAAGCCUCGACAUUGCACCAUUGUCUAAUUUCCACUUUUCAAGCUUCAAAAAUUCCAUUUCAAACACUUCCAGUUGUGGGAAGCUGCCUCCCACACAAUUCAGGUCAAAAGAAUCUCUAUCAUAAAAUACAUUUCCUGAAAGUCUCAAAAUUUUGAGUUUGGUGUGAUUUUCCAAACCAUUCAUCCCCUCAUCAGUAAUGCAGUCAAUCUCUGACAAUGUUAACUCUGUAAUGUUUGGAGGAAAUGCAAUCUCGUGGGUUAGAAGGUCCAAAGCAUUCACAAUGCUUAAGACACUUAGACAAUUCAAUUGCCCCAGGUUUUGUAACAGUUCUUGCUUCUUGAAACCAUUGUUCCUUUCCACACUCUCAUCGACCGACUUCUCUACACUUCUAUCAAUCUUAUCUCGGAGGAAAAUCUCUAACUUAUUCAAAUGACUUAAUUGUUGUAGGCUCUGCAAUAAUUUGGGUAAUUCACCUUCACAUCCAAAAGCUAGUCUCAAUCCUAUCCUCUUAAGAUUGGGGAAUGUUCCUUUCCUUAUGAGAGAUAUUCCUUGCCUGUUAAGUAUAAGGGAAGAGAUGGUUUGAAGAUUCCACAUCUUCUCAUCUGUUCCUGAAUCUCUACCUCACAGCUCGAUAGGUCAUUGUGUAUUCAAAUGCCUUAAAUGUUUCAGUUUCCAAAUUUGGACAGGGAAAGAAAUUGGAAAGUCACGCCUCGAAGGACCUAGGUCUAUGGUUUGUAGAUUCCAAAGGUUAAGUAUUGAAGUUGGAACAAACAUAAGAUACUCUAUUUCUAUUCUCAAGUACCUUAAGUUGAUAAAGUUCCCCAAAUUGGAAGGGAUCUUAUCGCAACCGCUUAGUCCAAACUCCAACACGCGAACCAAUUUGAAGCCUUUUGAAAGCCAUUUCCAGUCUGUCUCGCGAACAUAGUAAAUUGGGCCCAAGAAGAAUAGGGAAGAGAUACACGAAUGGUCAUUGUUGCUUGAAGAAAUGUAGUGAUCCAUCUUACUAUGAAUGGAGAGUCUACGAGCUUUUGUCGGGAUUAGAAUCUUAUUAUCUGUGGAAACUUCAAAAACUUUGUCCUUUUUGCUCUCUGAUAUGCAGAGAUCUCGAAGAAGAUCAUGAACCUGACACAUCUUCAAACCUCCAUUAGUCUCCAAUUUUGCUACUUGGACCAAACUACGAUCGAUGAGCUCAUACAAGUAGUCUUCCGCAACAUCAUCUGGGUCUCUAUUCCCUGUAUCUUGUAUAAAACCCUCAGCAACCCAUUUUUGCAAUAAUGGCAUAACAGGGAUUUCAAUGUCUUCCGGAAAUAUCCCAAGAUAAAGAAAGCAUGGUUUUAAUCUCCUUGGCAAGUUGUCGUAGCUGAGUUUGAGAACAAUGUCCUUCACUUGGGUCUCAUCUUGAGUAAGAUACCAAUUAACAUGACCCACCACUUUUGACCAUUCCCUGUAUGACUUUUCCUUGUAGGUUAGCAGCCCUGCUAAGACAAUGAUGGAGAGCGGCAAACCACGACAACUUUGAACCAUUUGCUUUCCAAGAGCUUCCAAAUCAGAAGGGUAGUCUUCACCCCUAAACACUUUCCUACAAAACAACUCCCAACUUUCUUCUUCACUCAGGAACUGAAGAUAAUAAGGAAGAUCAUGGGAAGUAUGCAGUGCUACCUCUUUCAAACGACUAGUUAUCAAUAUUCUGCUGCCUCUAUUGUUGUCCGGAAAAGCAUCUUGCACCUCAUCCCAAUCUUGCCUUUUCCACAGGUCAUCUACCACCACAAGAUACCUUCUACUCUCCAACUUGUUCCGCACUAGUUUCUUCAGCUCCUCCUCACUCAAGUUACUACUAGCUCGAGUGCUUUUUUUACCUUUCUUCUUGUCUUUGCAUUGUUGUUCAAAAUUUGGCAUCAAAUGCUUAAGAAGGCCAAGCAAAAGCUCCCUAACUCUGCACUCAUUUGACACAUAAACCCACGCGCGACACGUGAAGUGUUGCUCCACCUGACUGUUGUUAUAGACCUUUCGGGCAAGGGUGGUCUUCCCCAAUCCCCCCAUGCCAAUGAUAGAGACAACGUUACGUUUUGAACCACCUCCCAAGAGUCGUUUGAUGACAACCUUGGAGUCAUGUACAAAGCCAACCACACCUUCUUCCUCCACAUUUCUUCUUAGCUCGUGCAGUGAUUGCACCCUUUCCUUCUCCUUCUCCUCUUCUUCUGCAGAUUGAUUAUUGCUUUCUUUGAAAGCAUCAUAUUUGUCCUUGUUGUCGCGUAUUUCGUUGAGAGUGGUUUUGAUCUUGUCUAUUUUGUCGGCUACGUGGUGAAGCAACCUUGCUUGGCCAAAGCCACGGAGCAUCCUCCCCAGUAUGGUUCUCCUCUUGUAAAUGGCAACUUUGGCUACGAAAGUGUCGAUGACAUCCUCAGCUAGGUGGGCCACAUCUCUGAUUUGGUUCACCACUGUAUUUUCAAUUCCCUUCUUGCUCUUUGAGGUAUUGAGGAGGUCGUUGAUCAUUUGAAGCUCGUUCUGGAGGGACUGGAUCCUGUCCUCCACGCCAUACAGCAAGUUAGCUUCGCGUGCCACAAGCUCAGAUAAAUGAUCCAAAACAAAGGUAACUACACUGUCUGCCAUUACAGCUGUGACGUGCGUGUAGAUCUUGAUCUAUGCUUGGAUAGUGUGUUUGUGGUUGGUGAUGGAAGAAGAGGAACAGGGAUUUUGAUCUGUGGUUGGUGAUGGAAGAAGAGGAAAGAGUAUGCAAAUAUAUAUUAUGAGAAGUGAGUUGCGUUGAAGAGUUCUGGAUCU
rnacentral:lncRNA from 1 species